UACAGAGGGUGCAAGCGUUGUUCGGAAUUAUUGGGCGUAAAGCGCGUGUAGGCGGCUUGGCAAGUCGGGUGUGAAAUCCCUCAGCUUAACUGAGGAAGUGCGCCCGAAACUGCUUUGCUUGAGUGCCGGAGAGGAUGGCGGAAUUCCCCAAGUAGAGGUGAAAUUCGUAGAUAUGGGGAGGAACACCGGUGGCGAAGGCGGCCAUCUGGACGGUAACUGACGCUGAGACGCGAAAGCGUGGGGAGCAAACAGG
rnacentral:rRNA from 1 species